ensembl:lncRNA WEE2-AS1 WEE2 antisense RNA 1
GUGCGCGGGCGGAUGGAUCAACGCCGCCAAGUGGGUAAGGUCUGAGGAUUGCGUCAUUAGGCGAUUUUGUUGCUGUACGAACACCACAGAAUGUACUUUGACGACCUAGAUGGUGGAGCCUGGACACACCUCGGCUCUGUGGUGUGGCCUGCUGCUUCCAGGCUGCAAACCUGACAGCAUGGGGCUGUACUGAAUACCGCAGACCAUUGUAAUUCAUGGGGAAAGCGCGAAUGCAGUCCCCCACUACAACAAAUUAUGCAGUCGAGUUUUCCACAUUUGGGAAUAUCACAGGGGUCAGCACAUCCGGAGUGCAAUCGAUGAGCCCCACGCUGGGAAAAACCACCUUCGUGAUCAUGGUAUCUUCCCUGCCAGGGAAGGCCGGAGAACUGUAUUUCUGGCCAGAGCUGCUGCAGAAGGUCUCUGUUCGGCAUCAGGUUGGAUCAUGUUCUGAUGAUAUAGGACCAAGAGGAAAGAAACAGAAGCUUCACUAUUGGGAAAAAUCUUCCCAUUCAAGCCAACUCCAACCCAGCUUCUCCUGGUGGAUUUUAGAGAAACCAAUCAGCUUCAUUUUCAACUUCUUCUAUGACUCCAGAGGAUUCACUUUGCAUCUUGUGACAAAUGAAUAUAUUACCUGAAAAAAAAAUGACAGGAUAGAUAUUGAAGAAAUAAUUUUUUAUAGGACUCUGGAGUGAAGGGAUUAAUAUUGACCAGAGCCAAUGAGGUCAUCUCAUCCUUGAGGGGAGCAGGUGUGAGCUUCAAAUGCUUAGGGCCUCUGGAAGGAAGCUUCCCUGUUGGAGAAAUCACCAACCGGCUCAGCAUGGUCUGAAUGAGGAUGACAAAAGGAGUUGCUGCACAGGGGGAAAGCGAAGUUCCCAGGAGUAAGAUGUGCAAGAAGCGGGCAGCCUUGCAUCUCAGGGCUGAGUUCCCUCAACUGUGUGCUUGAGGGAAGUUCUCCCCUUGCAGACACACUGCUGAGUGAUAAGGAAGCACCUAGACUCCACUCUGACCAGACUUGGUUCUGAGGCCUAUGAAAUGUUGAUGGGAAGAACAGAAGCAGGAAAAUCUAUCUAUUCAAAUUUGCAAGACGUGGAAACUUUUAUUCACCUUCCUGGUUAGACUGUUCCUUUGUCAAAGUAAAGCUAAGGCCAUGGAAAAUGAGCUAUUUGAGAGUUUGUCGCUCCAAGGAAGAACAUGCUGGCCUAAUUGUCCCCCAAGUCAGGAGAGAGAAUUGUAAAAAACACUUAAACAGGCCUAAGUAAAGGUCCAGCACAUUAUUUAUUUAAGACUGAAUUAGAACUGAGUCAUUCCGACUCUGAAAAAAGAGUGUUGUUGGAUUCUUAUGUAUUUAAUGGGUCUGCCCUAUUGAAAACCAUUGUGAAGUAUGGUUUCCCAAGCAAGAAAUGACACUUUCACUGUCAGUCUUUCUAGGAGUCUGGCAGAAUCCAGGACCGGGAUUACCCUUAUUUAUGAAGCGACCUUAGACUAACAGUGGCUCUCUGGGUCUCCAGACAAUUGGCCAGGGACUCUAAAAACCAGAAACAAAGUUGAGAGAACUCCAUGCUGGUGGAGAAAAACAGCUGGCCUUUAUCACCAGAAUGUGCCCCAUAGAAGCAGCAAAGCAGCAAGCGACGUUCUUAAACAAGGGCCUGUGGGCCUCGUCAAGAUCUGGAGGAAUCAUCUACGACUCACUGCUGAGUGAGAGGGCUAGGCAGUGUCUUUAAGGUCCUGCCAGCUUUAACAUUGUAUGCUUUUUCUUUUGUUCAAUCUCUCACCACAACUGGAAGUGUUGCCUCAACUACACAGGAGAAAGUUUGCAGUAACUUAGAGAAAACAUUAUUUUAAUCACCAGUGUAUGUUCUCCUGCUCCCUGGACAAAUCCAUCAGCAGCGGCAACACUGACCAGGUCCAGAUUGGGGCCGCUGCGGUGGAUGUGAAUCCAUUGAAACUAGGGGUCUCCAGUGCUCCUGACUCCUCACAGCUCUGUUCCUAUGACAAGGAUGGUCAGCAAAGCCAGCAACCUUGAAGGGGGACCUUCUUCUAAUCUCCUCCCUGCCUGCUGAGAGAGUGUACAGAAGCAGCCACUUGUCAGCUGCGAUGAAUCCAAUGAUAAUUACAUAAAUCAUUAACAAUACUUGAUAUUUGCCCAUCACAUUUCUCAUUUCAAAGUGCUCAUAAAAUUGUAUCUCAUGGGUGGCACUGCCGGCACAACAGAAUUCCAAGGAAGGAUUACGGGCUAAGUAAAUAAAGCCUGGAGGCUGCUUU